AUUGAACGCUGGCGGCAGGCCUAACACAUGCAAGUCGAGCGGAUGAAGGGAGCUUGCUCCUGGAUUCAGCGGCGGACGGGUGAGUAAUGCCUAGGAAUCUGCCUGGUAGUGGGGGAUAACGUCCAGAAACGGGCGCUAAUACCGCAUACGUCCUGAGGGAGAAAGUGGGGGAUCUUCGGACCUCACGCUAUCAGAUGAGCCUAGGUCGGAUUAGCUAGUUGGUGGGGUAAAGGCCUACCAAGGCGACGAUCCGUAACUGGUCUGAGAGGAUGAUCAGUCACACUGGAACUGAGACACGGUCCAGACUCCUACGGGAGGCAGCAGUGGGGAAUAUUGGACAAUGGGCGAAAGCCUGAUCCAGCCAUGCCGCGUGUGUGAAGAAGGUCUUCGGAUUGUAAAGCACCUUAAGUUGGGAGGAAGGGCAGUAAGUUAAUACCUUGCUGUUUUGACGUUACCAACAGAAUAAGCACCGGCUAACUUCGUG
rnacentral:rRNA from 1 species